UGCAUUUAUAUAUUCUCUGAAAGGUCC
rnacentral:piRNA from 1 species